UCAUUGUUUAGCGAAACUGACAGGGAAGAGAUGGCCAUUGAUGAGGCUGAACUCAAGCCAGGUGAGUUUGUGGAUAAAAUGCACCAUCAACACAAGCUUCACGAGCAGCAAUUGGAAAUGCUUAAGAAUAUGCGCAGGUUUCAGCCAGACGUCCAAUCAGGAAUUCUAGAAAGGG